GUGCACCAGGCGCGAAACUUUACAAUGUGCGAAGCACGAUAAGGGAACUCUGAGUGCCUCCUAAGGAGGCUGUUCUGAUGUCUAAAAGCAACAGAAGUAAGGGCUGGGUAAGACCGGUGCCAGCCGCCGCGGUAACACCGGCAGCCCAAGUGGUAGCCACGUUUAUUGGGUCUAAAGCGUUCGUAGCCGGCCAGGUAAGUUCCUUGGUAAAUUUAGCCGCUUAACGGUUAAGCUUUCGGGGAAUACUGCUUGGCUUGGGACUGGGAGAGGUCAGAGGUACUCCGGGGGUAGGGUGAAAUCUAUUAAUCCCUGGGGGACCACCGGUAGCGAAGGCGUCUGACCAGACCAGGUCCGACGGUGAGGGACGAAGGCUAGGGGCGCGAACCGGAUUA
rnacentral:rRNA from 1 species